AUUAAUAUGAGUUGGGUAGUUUAUGGAUUGUGAUGUGAAUAUGUGACUGCACCAUGCUAAGUACCCUUCCCUGGUUAUUGUAUUCAUACGUGGCAUUGAAUUAUUUGGCAUGUAGGCACAUUUGGUUUUGUUGUACUUUAUCACACGUGACAUUGGAUUAUCUGGCAUGUGAUAAAGCAGUCUGCGCGCGUAGGACUUAGUGGUUGGAGUUGGCCACAUGUGG
rnacentral:lncRNA from 1 species